UCCUGAGUAACUCAGUCAGUAAAGCAUCUGCCUGCAAUGCGGGAGACCUGGGUUCAAUUCCUGGGUCAGGAA
rnacentral:tRNA from 1 species